UUUUGUUCCGUCCCACCGCCGCCGCCGCUGCAAUCCCCCUCCCCGACGACGAAAAACGCUGGCACCGAACCACCCACACAAUACUAUCCACCGCCGCCGCCGCUGCAAUCCCCCUCCCCGACCUCCCCCCCCAUCCCCUUCCCAUCUGCCUCGCGGAAGCUCGGUCGUCGGCAUGCGUGGCAAGCGUGGUCCACGCAUCGGCGCUGGUUGUCCAUAUGGCGUUACGGAUGAUAGCGAGGAGCAGGACAUACGCGUCCUUCUUGAUCACAUCCAUGGGUUCUACGAGGCGGCGCUCGAUCUGCUGCCGGUAGAGACUCUUCCCUCGCUGGCCCCGCGUCUUCUCCAGGCCGGCAUGUGCUUCGGCUUCCUCGACCCAGUCUCCAACAUCAUCGCCAACACCAUUGCCUACUACCCCCCUUCACCGAGGCCAAGACCCGACGAGGAGGAUGAUGACGACGACGACGACGACGCGAACUCGAUCCUCUCCAAGGUCAUCGCCGACCCUUGCAACAAUCUCAUCUAUGACAUGUUUAUACCCCCAGAGGAGAUCGUUUGUAUGAACAUCGCGCGGAGGUCGUUGCGAGGUCUCGUCAGCUUCCUCACCUUCCACUUCCGCUUCUUGGCCUACACGGAAGCCAUUCGCUACUUGCGUCUGGCCGGUGCAGACCUCCUCGCCGCCGUGCGGCUCAUCAAGCAAGAUCGUGACAGUGACAGCAACCCCGUUUUCAACUUCACCUCCCCCUUUUCGAAGAUGGCGCUCUACUGUGCCGCAGUGUCCGCGGCGCACCCAAAGUCGUCUCUCCUGGUGAGAGCGUCGCUGUCGCUUGCUUCUUGGAUGGUAAAGGUCACCAGCUUAUUGUCUGGAGACAACUGCCCCCUCACCAAUGCAUCAAUCAAACGCCUCACCGGGUGGCUCAGCAAAGAUCCUAAGAUUGUAAGAAGGAAACUCAUGUGCCUUGCGCUGGAUCUUGCUUCUUGGCGUCAGCAGAGUACAGAUAGACAAGAGAGAAAGAGAAAGAGGGACGAGCCGAUGCCCGGGGAUACAGGACCUGUGCAGAAGAAGUCACACAGGAAGCCGCCCAUGCAUUCCGCAUUCGGAUACACACAGUCUCUGAAACUCUUGCUUCUCGGCAAGAUCCAUGCUCUCUACCUAGAGGCACUCGCCCUGAUGCCUGGGGAUGCCUUGCGCAAGACUCAGCACAGCAACCUCAUCAAGGGCGGCUACUGCUACGGCCCCAUGGAUCCCGUCUCCAACAUCAUCCUCAACACUGUCUGGUAUGGCGCCAUGUUUCCCACAACCAAAGAUUUCGAGCUAGGCUUUGAUGUGAGCAUGAUUUGCACCAGACACCUUGCUCGUGUCGAGUGCUGCUCACUCUACGGCCUUGUUGCCUUCCUCCGCAAACGUUUCGUCACUCUCACGGAAAAUCAUGCUAUGUGGUACCUUCUUAUGAACAAUGCCGACCUUCGGGAAGCAAUGGAGAAGGUUCAGCAAGCUGGUCAUGUUAUGUCUGGCUCUUACUCCGAUGGCCUUAAGGAAGCGGCGGUUCAGUCAUGUCACCCUGACUGUGAUGCACUCCUGGAAUUCAUGGGCUUGCAUUCCGCUGACAUGCCAUAUAAACAGCCUUCAUCACUUACAUAUUGCAGGCUUGAGCACCUCGUGACUACUAUGCUAUCAAAAUCUUCACCUGCCAAGUCAGCUGAGUGUGUUGAGCAAUCGACCAAUGCAACCUUGAGCUCGGAGAUCUUAAAUGAAAACCAGAGAAUGUUUAUUGUGGCGGCUAAAGAAAAAUUUAAGGCUGACCAGGGAUUCUUUGUCAAGAAAGUCAAUGCUGUGCUGCAAGAAUUUUCUCAGGAAAAAGGGGUGGACUAUGAACUCCAUAUUAUUUGCGGUGUGAAUCCUGAGGUUACUAAACGAUCAAGUCUUAGUCUGUUCAAGAGGAACUUCAAAUAUGAAUAUUUCCAUAUCAACUUUUUGGCAACUGCCAAGGUAUCAAAUGAAGCUGGCACAACUCCAGAACUGUUCUUCGCUGAAUGCAGCAAUAGUGAUAAAGAUAUGGAGAAAAGAGCAUCCUUGUGCUUCCCUGUUAAAGAUUCCUCGGUGGAUGAUGUGAGGAUUACAUCAGCCGAGCAUCUUACAGAUAAGCCCAGAAACAAAGCAAAAUUACAAAAAGAUCCUUCUGAGCUCCGGCAACUUCUUCGUCGCACAGCACGUUCUGCCGGCGGAACCCGCCGCCUUCUCCUCCAGAAAACCUUGGACUGGGAGGAGCCCUCCGGCGGCCAGGAAGUCGACAGCACUCGGCGCCGCAGCGCCUCCAUCCCGCACCACGACCGAUGCCAACUCGGUCAACGCCAUCUUCACGAAGAUCUUCAAAGGCCGGCGCCGCCAUCACGAACACCGGCAAGAGGGAAAGCACGCCGCGGCCCGAAAGAGCGGCGAGCGCGCUGAAGACGGCAGAUCUGCCAAGGGCCUCCACCGGAGCACGCCUAGCAGAGGAGAGGACCACCGCCACCAAAAGCCUCUCCGGCAACGCCGCCACCUCCACAGCGCUGCCAGCAAGCAACCCACGCACACCUAGGCUAUGUACACGCCGGGAUCCGUCGAUUCCCCGUCCUCCCGCCGCCGGAGCGGCCGCCGGAGGGCGAGGGAUCAGACGAAUCGCCGGCGGCGAGCUGAUGCGCACGGGAUCGCCCAAAAGUCGCCUCCUUUCACUGUAGAUGGGGAAAGGGCAGAGGCCAAGCUCUCUACUGACGAUAAAUCAUGAUCACCACUAGUUUGUUUAUUCCUGCAUCUACAACACAAACUCGCUGUUUUUGCUGUGAGAUGAACGGGAUAAAGAUAGUGCAUCCAAACCUUGAACUUUAUCAUGGGCUUCAUGAUUUCAGAAAGAUUGCUACUGGGGA